rnacentral:lncRNA from 1 species
CAGAAACAACAAGAUACGUGUAUUUUGAAGUGUAUUUAAUUAAAAUGCAUUAGUUUUGUUUUAAAAUACAAGAGUAUAUUAGCCAGUAGCAGACCCCAACAGCAACAACCCUCUCAGUAAUGUAACAGAAACAGUUGACUUCCUAUGUGAUACAGGAUGUUGUUGUUUACUGCCUUUAGUUUAAUGCACUGAAGUCACUCUGGAUAAGAGUGUUGAUAAACGACUAAAGUAUUCGUGAAAAUUAACAUACCAUAAUGAACAACAAUGUGCUGGGGUAAUAAACUAAAAGUUCCCCCCUUCAGGGUCCCCAGGACCAGGACUAAAGGACACUGAUCUACGUAUGGUACGAAGUAGCUUCCCAGAAGCCUGGUUACAGUAUGGUACAGUAGCUUUCCCAGAAGCCUGGUUACAGUAUGGUACAGUAGCUUUCCCAGAAGCCUGGUUACAGUAUGGUACAGUAGCUUUCCCAGAAGCCUGGUUACAGUAUGGUACAGUAGCUUUCCCAGAAGCCUGGUGCAGCUCUGGGGACUCCCUGGGGGCGAUUACAUUUUGGGUGUAAUAGCCCGCCUGUUCCAGGAACUUCCUCAAUGUAUACUGACGUAUGAUCAUGAGCAAGCUCCUGCUGAUGCAAUAUGUGUUGACCGGGUCGAAGCUCUUCAGGUCCUCGUGCUUCGUCACAUAGACCUUAUCCACUAUCCUGUCUGGACGCAUACUGAUGAUGAGACGGUCCAUGUUGCUGUCAUCUUUCUGAUGAGUGUUACCCCCACGGACAUAUUCAGGCAAGGAUUUAGAUGUUGGGAGGUAGAGGUUGCCCACGUCAUAGAAUGGGUACUCACUAAAAGGAAGCAGCCUCUUGCAGACAUUGUUUUUACACUCACGUCUGUUCUGGAAGUGAUGGAAUCCAAAGCCUCCCUCUUUGGGGUCGCAAUUUGCAACCAUCUGGUCAUUUUCGAUGACGAUGUGAUCUUUGGCGAACCAGAAAAGGAGCCUGAGUCCGUGCCUGGGUGAGGGACGACCAAACGAAGAAUUUCUAAGCUCCUCCAUAUUGUUCAAUGUUCGAACCAUGGUACCCCUGGGGGAGGGAGAGAGAGAGAGAGGGUAGAGAGAAGGGGGGGUAGAGAAGAGAGGAUAAGAAAAGCGGGGGGGGGUAGAGAGAGAGGGAUGAGAAAGAGGGGGGG